rnacentral:rRNA from 1 species
CAUGAACGCUGGCGGCGUGCUUAACGCAUGCAAGUCGAGCGAGAGAGUUCUUCGGAACGAUCUAGCUGCGGACGGGUGAGUAACACGUGGGCAACCUGCCUCAUAGAGGGGAAUAGACUUCCGAAGGGAAGAUUAAUACAGCAUAACAUCGUUGAAGGGCAUCCUUCGAUGAUCAAAGGAGCAAUCCGCUCUGAGAUGGGCUCGCGGCGCAUUAGCUGGUUGGUGAGGUAACGGCUCACCAAGGCGACGAUGCGUAGCCGACCUGAGAGGUUGAUCGGCCACAUUGGGACUGAGACACGGCCCAGACUCCUACGGGAGGCAGCAGUGGGGAAUAUUGCACAAUGGGGGAAACCCUGAUGCAGCAACGCCGCGUGAGUGAUGAUGGCCUUCGGGUUGUAAAGCUCUGUCUUUGGGGACGAUAAUGACGGUACCCAAGGAGGAAGUCACGGCUAACUACGUGCCAGCCGCCGCAGUAA